rnacentral:lncRNA from 1 species
CAUCUCUUUACUCCCUUCAGAGCUUUUCUGUAUUCCUAUUACAGUCUGUGUUCCACAGUGACCUAACAUUGAACUAAGUUACUUAGUGAUUCAUGAGAGACAAGAGAAUUAGGCUUUCAUUUUGAUGGUUUGUAGUAUGUUCUUUUGACCAAAAGGAGAAAGUUUACUUUGUAUGAGGAGAGGAAUGGUGAAAGGACAGGAGAAAUUCUUCCUGAGAGCUAUUCUCUGUUUGAAGGACUACUUUUGCUGUUGUUUUCAGAUGGCUACAACCAGCUCCAGUAUGUGCCCAGUCUUCUGUGGGUCUUCUCUUUUGAAGAUGGAGUGGACAAACUCCUUUUCCUUGGAUGAUGUGAUGGAAGGACAGUCCUGUCCACUUCCUCUAGAGUUCUCUUUUGUACCAGAGGUGACCCUGGUUUCUCCAGGGCUAUGUCAGUAGAGCACAAACUUUGAGAUCCUACCAAAAGCCAAAGAACUAUGGAAGUAAGAAGAAUGGAUGCCUCUACAUUUGGGCACAGCUUAGAGCUACCACAUCAACCAAACUAUAUUCUAGGGAUCCAAGCAGGAGAAAGAAAAUAAAUCACUUCAAAAAAAAUCA